GAACCCCGGAGAGGGGAGUGAAAUAGAACCUGAAACCGUGUACGUACAAGCAGUCGGAGCCCUCUUGUGGGGUGACGGCGUACCUUUUGUAUAAUGGGUCAUCGACUUGGUCUAUCUAGCAAGCUUAAGCCGUUAGGUGUAGGCGCAGCGAAAGCGAGUCUUAAUAGGGCGAAUGAGUUAGAUGGAUCAGACCCGAAACCGAGUGAUCUAGGCAUGGCCAGGUUGAAGAUAAGGUAACACUUAUUGGAGGACCGAACCCACAUCCGUUGAAAAGGAUCGGGAUGAGCUGUGCCUAGGGGUGAAAGGCCAAUCAAACUCGGAGAUAGCUGG
rnacentral:rRNA from 1 species